rnacentral:rRNA from 1 species
AUUGAACGCUGGCGGCAGGCCUAACACAUGCAAGUCGAGCGGAUGAAGGGAGCUUGCUCCUGGAUUCAGCGGCGGACGGGUGAGUAAUGCCUAGGAAUCUGCCUGGUAGUGGGGGAUAACGUCCGGAAACGGGCGCUAAUACCGCAUACGUCCUGAGGGAGAAAGUGGGGGAUCUUCGGACCUCACGCUAUCAGAUGAGCCUAGGUCGGAUUAGCUAGUUGGUGGGGUAAAGGCCUACCAAGGCGACGAUCCGUAACUGGUCUGAGAGGAUGAUCAGUCACACUGGAACUGAGACACGGUCCAUACGCCUACGGGAGGCAGCAGUGGGGAAUAUUGGACAGAGGGCGAAAGCCUGAUCCAGCCAUGCCGCGUGUGUGAAGAAGGUCUUCGGAUUGUAAAGCACUUUAAGUUGGGAGAAAGGGCAGUAAGUUGAUACCUUGCUGUUUUGACGUUACCAACAGAAUAAGCACCGGCUAACUUCGUG